AUUCACUGGUCGGCGGGACCCACUUGACAGCUACAUCCCCGCGCCCACGACGCGACCAGUCCUUCUCUGCGCUGUGGGACCCACAGGUCAGCACGUCCUCCACCUCCCUCAAUGGAUGCUCCCGAACUCGGUGGGAGACCGCGCCGGAAUCGUCGGGCCGUUGAGACCGACCCCGUUCCCUCUUCGCGUAUAAAGCUUCUGUUGCGGCACUUCCCUAAUCGCAUUGCCGCACUUG
rnacentral:lncRNA from 7 species